rnacentral:rRNA from 1 species
UACGUAGGUGGCAAGCGUUGUUCGGAAUUAUUGGGCGUAAAGGGCGCGUAGGCGGCAUGUUAAGUCGGCUGUGAAAGCCUGGGGCUCAACCCCAGAGGGUCGGCCGAUACUGGCAAGCUAGAGUACGGAAGAGGUAGCUGGAAUUCCCGGUGUAGCGGUGAAAUGCGUAGAUAUCAGGAGGAACACCGGUGGCGAAGGCGGGUCUCUGGGCCGAUACUGACGCUGAGGAGCGAAAGCGUGGGGAGCGAACAGG